CCGAAUUGCAACGUUGUGGGUGGAAAACGAAACCGCCCGCCAGCGAUGAACCCGGUCUCCCUCGUAGGUACAUUUUUCGAAGUACGCCAAAUAUUGCCCGAGUGACGGCGGGUGCGUGCUCAACAAGCCGAAAGCGUGCGAACGCUGCCUCCCGGUCGUAGUGCGCGCAGUCCGCCAGGCGUCGAGGGGCGGAGGGCAUCAUUCUGGAGGACAAGGCCCAGUCGCACACGUAAAGAGAGCGCCUCGCCGACUAAACUUGGUGCAUGUGGAAUACAAAUGUGCCGGCUGACCAUCCUCCACAUGUUACGAGAGUGUCGCGAGGCAGAUGCUGAAAGGAAAAAGCACUUUGCAGCAGCUUACGGACAGCUUACCCUCUACAUCCAGCAAUGUUUCUUGUCUCGCCAUUCGAGCUCCUCCACAUCCGCUUUCGGCUAUCCCGCUUGCGGAAGAAGGUAUGCAUUAUCCGCAUAUUAUUCUGUUCUGCAAACUCUACUAAUAACUCUCCCCUGCUAAAUAAAUAUAAAUAUAAUAUAAUAAUACAAAAAUAAAUAUUAAUAUCCCCCCCCCCAUAUUUGGUUGGGGGGGUGGGGAAAUACAGGCUUGAAUCACAUAAAUGCUUUCCUUUUUGGGGGCUG